CCUACGGUGGGCAGCAGUGGGGAAUAUUGGGCAAUGGGCGCAAGCCUGACCCAGCCACGCCGCGUGAAGGAAGACGGCCCUCGGGUUGUAAACUUCUUUUAUUCGGGACGAAACAAAUGACGGUACCGAAUGAUUAAGCCACGGCUAACUACGUGCCAGCAGCCGCGGGAAUACGUAGGUGACAAGCGUUAUCCGGAUUUAAUGGGUGUAAAGGGCGUGUUGGCGGGAGAGUAAGUCAGACGUGAAAUUCCAGGGCUGAACCCAGGAACUGCGUUUGAAACUGGUCUUCUUGAGUGAUGGAGAGGCAGGCGGAAUGCCGGGUGUAGCGGUGAAAUGCGUAGAUAUACGGAGGAACACCAGUGGCGAAGGCGGCCUGCUGGACAUUAACUGACGCUGAGGCGCGAAAGCGUGGGGAGCAAACAGGAUUAGAUACCCCAGUAGUC
rnacentral:rRNA from 1 species